UUCUUUCUCCUUUGUCUGCACAAUUUUCUACUAACGAAGACAUUAUCUAAACAUGUUAAUCUAAGUUCUUAUUUUUUGGAGUAUUUGUAAAAUAUAAGGUUGUUCUAGUUGUGGCUGUGUUCUAGAAUAGUACUAGCAAUUUUAGGAUUAACCGUACAGCUGACAGUUGCAAUAUUUUGCCUUCAUCUUUGUAUUAUCUUACUUUUAAACCCGUGAUCUUUACCAUCUCUCCCUCCGGAACUGAAGAAAGCAUAGUGUUUGUUGAUACUAUUAUGUAUUAGUCGAAGGAAUUAUGGGUGUACUCGAGGGGGAAGCUUUCAGUUUAUGUUGGAACUGGGGUUGUAGCUUGGAUGAGAGAUGGGAUGAUAGUGCCUGUGGCAUUAGUGAGGCACUGAACUUCCACUCGAAGAGGAGACUAGUUUAUGUGUUAAGCCUAUUCAUGUUUCAUCAACACUGGAGAGGUGUUUUGUAUGGUUUAUGUGGGGCCAUUUCAAGGCAGUUUCAUUCUUGCUAGCAGAAAUGGUGAGUGGUGUUUUGUAUGGUUUUUUUUCUCUCCCAAGUUGUAAUUAAUGAGGAUGUGCUAGAAAAGUAGCCUACAUCAUCCCUAGUGUGAUGUGCACAUUCCGACCGGUAAUAAAUGAGUGGGGAGGCUCCAAGUAUCUCAAAUACUUAGAGAAUUGCAUUGUAAUUCUGUUAUGUUUUAUGUUUCAAUCUAUUUGGGUUCUACUA